rnacentral:lncRNA from 10 species
AAUAAGUAACCCAUGUUACGAUGGAGAACCAUCUCCACUGCAUGCCUGAAAAGAACUCUACAACUCCUUUUAAUAUAUUUAAGCCCAUGAAGCGAUCUGUCAACUGGAUUUUUUUCCUUGGAGACCUCUCCAUCCUCCUGCUCUGAUCUGGAAGCAUUGCUCUCUAAGCCUGCUGCAGAACAAGAAAUUUGGACACACAAAGAAAAGACACCAAGUGCACGAGUACCCAGAAGGACAACCAUGUGAAGAGGCAGUGAGAAGGUG